UACAGAGGCCUCGAGCGUUAGGCGGAAUCACUGGGCUUAAAGCGUGUGUAGGCGGACUUCUAAGUACCUUGUGAAAUCCCACGGCUUACCCGUGGAACGGCUGGGUAUACUGGGGAGUCUUGAGCCACCUAGGGGCGAGUGGAACAAAUGGUGGAGCGGUGAAAUGCGUAGAUAUCAAUUUGGAACGCCAAUGGGUGAAAACAACUCGCUGGGGGUGUGCUGACGCUGAGACACGGAAAGCCAGGGGAGCGAACGGG
rnacentral:rRNA from 1 species